rnacentral:rRNA from 1 species
AUAGUUUUGUACCUGGCUCAGAUUGAACGCUGGCGGCAGGCCUAACACAUGCAAGUCGAGCGGUAGCACAGAAGAGCUUGCUCUUUGGGUGACGAGCGGCGGACGGGUGAGUAAUGUCUGGGAAACUGCCUGAUGGAGGGGGAUAACUACUGGAAACGGUAGCUAAUACCGCAUAACCUCGCAAGAGCAAAGAGGGGGACCUUCGGGCCUCUCGCCAUCAGAUGUGCCCAGAUGGGAUUAGCUAGUAGGUGAGGUAAUGGCUCACCUAGGCGACGAUCCCUAGCUGGUCUGAGAGGAUGACCAGCCACACUGGAACUGAGACACGGUCCAGACUCCUACGGGAGGCAGCAGUGGGGAAUAUUGCACAAUGGGCGCAAGCCUGAUGCAGCCAUGCCGCGUGUGUGAAGAAGGCCUUCGGGUUGUAAAGCACUUUCAGCGAGGAGGAAGGCGGUAAGGUUAAUAACCUUAUCGAUUGACGUUACUCGCAGAAGAAGCACCGGCUAACUCCGUGCCAGCAGCCGCGGUAAUACGGAGGGUGCAAGCGUUAAUCGGAAUGACUGGGCGUAAAGCGCACGCAGGCGGUCUGUUAAGUUGGAUGUGAAAUCCCCGGGCUUAACCUGGGAACUGCAUUCAAAACUGACAGGCUAGAGUCUUGUAGAGGGGGGUAGAAUUCCAGGUGUAGCGGUGAAAUGCGUAGAGAUCUGGAGGAAUACCGGUGGCGAAGGCGGCCCCCUGGACAAAGACUGACGCUCAAGGUGCGAAAGCGUGGGGAGCAAACAGGAUUAGAUACCCUGGUAGUCCACGCUGUAAACGAUGUCGAUUUGGAGGUUGUGCCCUUGAGGCGUGGCUUCCGGAGCUAACGCGUUAAAUCGACCGCCUGGGGAGUACGGCCGCAAGGUUAAAACUCAAAUGAAUUGACGGGGGCCCGCACAAGCGGUGGAGCAUGUGGUUUAAUUCGAUGCAACGCGAAGAACCUUACCUACUCUUGACAUCCACAGAAUUCGGUAGAGAUACCUUAGUGCCUUCGGGAACUGUGAGACAGGUGCUGCAUGGCUGUCGUCAGCUCGUGUUGUGAAAUGUUGGGUUAAGUCCCGCAACGAGCGCAACCCUUAUCCUUUGUUGCCAGCGAUUCGGUCGGGAACUCAAAGGAGACUGCCGGUGAUAAACCGGAGGAAGGUGGGGAUGACUUAAAGUCAUCAUGGCCCCUUUACGAGUAUG